rnacentral:rRNA from 1 species
AAAUGUUGACCUCGAAUCAGGUAGGAAUACCCGCUGAACUUAAGCAUAUCAAACCGGGAGAGGAAAA